UAGGGAAUAUUAGUAAUGGGCGAAAGCCUGAACUAGCAACGCCGCGUGUGCGAAGAAGGCCUUCGGGUUGUAAAGCACUUUUUGAGAGGAUGAGGAAGGACGGUACUCUCAGAAUAAGUCUCGGCUAACUACGUGCCAGCAGCCGCGGUAACACGUAGGAGGCGAACGUUAUCCGGAUUUACUGGGCGUAAAGCGCGUGUAGGUGGUUUGGUAAGUAGGGCGUGAAAGCUCCUGGCUCAACUGGGAGAGGCCGUUCUAAACUGCCGAACUAGAGGAUGGUAGAGGGAGGUGGAGUGCCGGGGGUAGCGGUGGAAUGCGCCGAUAUCCGGAGGAACAACAGUGCAAAAGCGGCCUCCUGGAUCACUCCUGACACUCAGACGCGAAAGCUAGGGUAGCAA
rnacentral:rRNA from 1 species